rnacentral:rRNA from 1 species
GUGAGGAAUUUUCCGCAAUGGGCGAAAGCCUGACGGAGCAAUGCCGCGUGAAGGAUGAAGGCCUAUGGGUUGUAAACUUCUUUUCUUAGAGAAGAAUAUUGACGGUAUCUGAGGAAUAAGCAUCGGCUAACUCUGUGCCAGCAGCCGCGGUAAGACAGAGGAUGCAAGCGUUAUCCGGAAUGAUUGGGCGUAAAGCGUCUGUAGGUGGCUUCAAAAGUCUCCUGUCAAAGAUCAGGGCUUAACCCUGGGCCGGCAGGAGAAACUCUGAGGCUAGAGUUUGGUAGGGGCAGAGGGAAUUCCCGGUGGAGCGGUGAAAUGCGUAGAGAUCGGGAGGAACACCAAAGGCGAAAGCACUCUGCUGGGCCACAACUGACACUGAUGCACGAAAGUGUGGGGAUCGAACAGGAUUAGAAACCCGAGUAGUCC